rnacentral:misc_RNA from 1 species
AUAAGUUAGUAUUGUGGCAUAUAUAUAAACUACUUUAGUUGGUAUGAGUAGAAGAAUGACAUAAACUUUAAUAAGUUGGUAAUCACACGUUUCCUAUAUCCUCCAAGAGAAUAGACAGAUUGUAGCUACUAAUUUUGGGGACAAGUUUCUGAUCUAGAAAAAUAUCGGUUAUCUUUCAGAUUAUUCGAAAAGAGGCCGAGAAUAUCUCAUUAUGCGUAAAGUACUGUAGUCUAGCAGUUGCUAUACUUUGUGUCAGGCUUUUGUUGCGAUUCUUAUGUCAUUUUAGUGUGAAUCUAGUGCAGUUGUUUUCAUGUAAUUCUGAUGUUGGU